CGUGUAGGCGGCCAGGUAAGUCAGAUGUGAAAGUCCCGGGCUCAACUCGGGAAGUGCAUUUGAAACUGCUUGGCUUGAGUAGGAGAGAGGAAAGUGGAAUUCCUGGUGUAGAGGUGAAAUUCGUAGAUAUCAGGAGGAACACCGGUGGCGAAGGCGGCUUUCUGGCUCUAUACUGACGCUGGGACGCGAAAGCGUGGGUAGCAAACAGGAUUAGAUACCCUGGUAGUC
rnacentral:rRNA from 1 species